rnacentral:misc_RNA from 1 species
GAUGAAGAACGUAGCGAAAUGCGAUAAGUAAUGUGAAUUGCAGAAUUCAGUGAAUCAUCGAAUCUUUGAACGCACAUUGCGCCCGCCAGUAUUCUGGCGGGCAUGCCUGUCUGAGCGUCAUUUCAACCCUCAAGCAACUUCUGCUUGGUGUUGGGGAUCGGCCGUUAAACGCCGCCCCCGAAAUCUAUUGGCGAUCUCGCUGUAGCUUCCUAUGCGUAGUAGUAACAUCUCGCAUCUGGAGAGCGGCGCGGUCAUGCCGUAAAACACCCAACUUCUCAGGUUGACCUCAGAUCAGGUAGGAAUACCCGCUGAACUUAAGCAUAUCAAUAAGCGAGGA